UCUUUUAGCAGGGAAGAAGCGAAAGUGACGGUACCUGCAGAAAAAGCGCCGGCUAACUACGUGCCAGCAGCCGCGGUAAUACGUAGGGCGCAAGCGUUAUCCGGAAUUAUUGGGCGUAAAGAGCUCGUAGGCGGUUUGUCGCGUCUGCUGUGAAAUCCGGAGGCUCAACCUCCGGCCUGCAGUGGGUACGGGCAGACUAGAGUGCGGUAGGGGAGAUUGGAAUUCCUGGUGUAGCGGUGGAAUGCGCAGAUAUCAGGAGGAACACCGAUGGCGAAGGCAGAUCUCUGGGCCGUAACUGACGCUGAGGAGCGAAAGGGUGGGGAGCAAACAGGCUUAGAUACCCUGGUAGUCCACCCCGUAAACGUUGGGAACUAGUUGUGGGGUCCAUUCCACGGAUUCCGUGACGCAGCUAACGCAUUAAGUUCCCCGCCUGGGGAGUACGGCCGCAAGGCUAAAACUCAAAGGAAUUGACGGGGACCCGCACAAGCGGCGGAGCAUGCGGAUUAAUUCGAUGCAACGCGAAGAACCUUACCAAGGCUUGACAUAUACGAGAACGGGCCAGAAAUGGUCAACUCUUUGGACACUCGUAAACAGGUGGUGCAUGGUUGUCGUCAGCUCGUGUCGUGAGAUGUUGGGUUAAGUCCCGCAACGAGCGCAACCCUCGUUCUAUGUUGCCAGCACGUAAUGGUGGGAACUCAUGGGAUACUGCCGGGGUCAACUCGGAGGAAGGUGGGGAUGAC
rnacentral:rRNA from 1 species